AGUCAGAACGGUAACCUAUUUAAUCUGGAAGCCACGCGUCACUCGCUCUUUUCACCCACUUUGUGCAGAUGGUGGAUGUUUAAGGCGUGGAAAUCAUCUUAAAUAUAAAAUGCAAAACAGCCUCGUUGGUUCAGAAAUCUCCACCGCCAUGCUCUGGUCGGAUCAUGUGCAGUGUGGCGGACACCUGUAUGAGCCAGAUGGAGGAUGAUGGCUGUGUUUGAGCUUCUGCAGAAAGUCUCAGUAAUGACAGUGCUGUUUCAACACAACAGUCUGCCAUAGCAGGAUGAUUACUUCUGAGAAAAGGGCUCCCGCUGUCUGCAUCAAGCCAUGUACAGAAAUUCUCAAGGUUGGAGAUGAACCUGGGGAGAUUUUUCAGCAGCUGUUUCAGCGACGCUCUUGCAGGUAAUAAGCAAGGCACUGAAAACACCUGAGGGAAGCUGGACCAAUGGGUUAUUUUUGUCCAGUUUCAUGUGAUGCCAAACAUACUCUUUGCUGUAUUUUAUCACUAGCAGUUUUUAAAUCUGCCAGCAGUUUUUCUUGCAUAUGACAAUGCUAUCAGUUGGCACGCUGUACAUGAACUAUGUCAAACUGAUGCUACUUUGUCUUUAAAGAAAUAGUUUUUCAGUAUGGAAGCAUUCUUGUAAAGUUUGAACUUUUAGCAUGAUGUUGAACCGUGUGAUUAAAGUUGAAAGUUAAAAUAAG